rnacentral:rRNA from 1 species
UACGGUGGCUAUUGCGGAGGGGAAACACCUGUUCCCAUCUCGAACACAGAAGUUAAGACCUCCAGCGCCGAUGGUACUGCACUGGUAACGGUGUGGGAGAGUAGGUCGCCACCGUAU